ensembl:lncRNA
CCCAUGACGGGAUUAGGGUGGAAGGGUCCAAUGACAGGAUUAGGGUUGAAGGACCGAUGACAAGAUUAGGUUUAAAGGACCAAUGACAGGAUUAGGGUUGAAGGACCAAUGACAGGAUUAGGGUUGAAGGACCAAUGACAGGAUUAGGUUUAAAGGACCAAUGACAGGAUUAGGAUUAAAGGAGCUCCAGCGUGAUACCUGCAACCAGUUCAUUGUGGGAGAGGAUCACUGUGGUCAAGUCAGACAGUUUGAUGUCAUGUGUUGAAUUCAAAAUGGAAAGGAUCUGGUCGGCCUCCAUAGUAACAUUACUCUCCACCAUCAGCUCGGCAAUGUAGAGAUCUUCGACUGAAACACAAGAUAUUGUAUGUCGGAUCCUUUUGUAUUUUUACUGGGCUGAGUUAGAUGGGAUGCGAUCGAUUGAGUUGGUCGACAGUAGGUUGAUUUUAAUACUUAAAAUAUACCUUCAGUAUUUUGUAAACUGAACUAUAUUUCCCCAUAACUUCUCUUGAAUUGUGUAGUAAAAUGCUUGUAACGGGCAGCAGUUUAACAGGCAGCGAGGGCAAUCUUGUGGCGUUAAUGUCAGUAAAAGUGUUUUUAUUCAGGUUGUGAUUAAAAGUGUCAAACGACGUCAUGCAAAUCCUACCUUAUUUAUUUAUUUAUGAUAUCGAACAUAUUCUGCAUUACUUUUCUGUUUUAUAAAAUCCUUCUUUACGAGAAUGAAGCAAACCUACUCACCCGCUGCAAGGACCUGCAAUGAGAAGAAUAGGCCAACGACAGAAUUAGCCUUAAUGCUAAGGGUGUAGUGCCCAUCAAAAAUAUAAAAUAUAUCUUUUUGUAGCUUUGUAAUGCUGAAUAGAUAAAGAUUAACACACAAAGAUGUUAUUCUUCAUUGUCAAUGAAUGCAGAAAGGAUAGAGUGUGGAAAAAGUAUGAAUGAAUUAGAAAUGCAAACAAGUAGCUGAGGAGUAUCUUUACCUGAAAGUAUAUAUGCACAGCUCCAAUCAGACACAUAAAUAUCUUGGAACACAUCGUUGUUCUAGUGUAAAAAAGAAUAAACAUUAGAAACAAUUAAGGAACCAACAGAUGACCAUGGGCCUACUCAUUCAUUGAAAUUGAUUUUGAUGUUUACAUUUCUCAGAGGAUGAUUAAUCAUUUUGGUGAUCGCCUGAUCUUUUGCUCAAAAAACCUUCUCUGAGUUGCAUCAACUGCAAGGCUGUAAAUAGCUUUUAUUUUUUAUCCAUCUCUAAAAACAACAUUUGCAUACUGCUAAUCCCAAAGUUUGGACAAACAUGGCCUAUAUACAUCAAAUAUGUUGAAGCUUGUGUUCCUCUCAUACGAGGUGCCAAUUUUUGCUUGCAAAACUUGUUUGCACCAGUGGAGUAGGUGGUUUUCAGGCUUCUGAUAACAGUGCACGGUGUGGUCAGAGGCCCGUCACUGUGGUCCAGGUUAUGCCCACUUCAUUUUCUUGUUGGGUUAGGACAUGUUAAUAAGUGUAUGCGUAGACAAAACAAGCUGGCACCCAAAGGCUUCUUUAUUAGGCAAACCUGUCCAGUCUCUGCAGUUCAAGAGGAGAAAGCUGCGCUACAAACAUUCAAAUUAUUUUAAAUGAGUACUGGACUACAUUUGAUUAUGUGUUCUCCCUGUUUACGUCAUACAUGACUGAAUAAUGUAAACAACACGCUAUAUAACGUAUCCCAGGACAACAAAACCAAUAACCACAAAAAAAAUGAUACGGCCCAAUAAAAGUAGAUCCUAUGACAGAAGUGUUUGCUCUACAGCGCUCCUAAUAAGGUGAUCACAUACAUGCAAUAACAGCCUGACCUGAUAUGAAAAUAAACUCUUUGAGAGUGUGUCAAUGGCAAGGACGGUCUGCAAACCCUCAACGCCUUUGAUAAAACGCUUUACCGAACGGAUAAAGAUAAAAACAUUUUACAGAAUCUCCAGCAACUCACAACUUGUCAAACAAGUUGCUCAACAAACUUAUCAUCCAUGUUGCUCACGCUACAUAGUGACUGAGUAGAUUGACGCCACAAACACUGACAGGGAAGAAGAAGAAAAGUCAUUUUCUCUUAAGACAAACUGCGCCUUGUGUUGUGAAAUGCAUUCACAACAUUUCUGUAUGAGAAAUGAAUUUAAAUAACUGAUCAUGAUGAUCAUCAGCUCUAAGUGAGAUAUUUGAGGUUGAGGGAUUUCCCUGUUAUAAUUAGUUCUUAAGCCUACAAUGUGUUUAUAUUGUUGUGUUCUCACACACACAACAAAGACUGAAAAUUGCAUCGCACAGUUUCUGAAAAAACGAAUGGGCAGGAAAUCAUCAGUCAGCACACAACCUCAAUGUCCGCAGAGGACACAGUUGAGAUGCUUCCAUUCAUGCAACUAGAGAGAAAUCUAUGGAGUCAAGCCUGGUGAUAUAAACAAUAUAGGUGGAGAAGAUGUCUGUUGAGAGCAUUUAGAGCAGUGAUUCUCAACUGGUGGGACCCGCUUUAAUGGGCCUUUGC